UACGUAGGGUGCAAGCGUUAAUCGGAAUUACUGGGCGUAAAGCGUGCGCAGGCGGUUGUGCAAGUCAGAUGUGAAAUCCCCGGGCUUAACCUGGGAACUGCAUUUGUGACUGCACGGCUAGAGUGUGGCAGAGGGGGGUAGAAUUCCACGUGUAGCAGUGAAAUGCGUAGAUAUGUGGAGGAAUACCGAUGGCGAAGGCAGCCCCCUGGGCUGAGAUUGACGCUCAGGCACGAAAGCGUGGGGAGCAAACAGG
rnacentral:rRNA from 1 species